ensembl:lncRNA
ACAGCAGCUUAAAAACCUCUACUGAGAGCAGAGCCCACAAGCUUACAAGGCAGGCUUUCCUAGAUUCAUUCCCCCUCUUCUCUCUCUCUCUCUCUCUCUCUCUCUCUCUCUCUCUCUCUCUCUCUCUAAUAAAAAGAUUUAUACUCUCUUUUUUCUCAAUCCCACGAUUAGAAAAAAAUUAAUAUAUUAUAUUUAUUUUUUUUUUUUUUUUUUAUUGAUACGAUUGGUUUUGUUU